CCCUCUUUUUCAGCAGUGCAGGCCCUGCUUGCUUCCUCCAGCGAAGGAAACGCACGAGCAAAGGCACUGAGGCCUCCUGAAUGCUGCUCUGCACAGAUGUGCGCUUUAACAGGAAGAAGAGAACGCCCACAGGAACUGAACUGCUGGGAACCCACAGCAGAUGGGUGGCUGUGAUGGCAGCAGCCCACGUCUGAGCCAACACGCCUACUCCCAGGCCGCUGGGAGGGCCGUGACCUGCGCAUUUUGUCCAUGCUCUCUAUUCUUGCACCCGUGUAACAAGGAGGAAAUGAGACAGACACAUCCUCUACCGCUGCUUCUCAGCAUCCUGACGGGACCGUGAUUCAGCCAUGAUUCAGAAGGAAAUGUGUCACAUGGAACACCAUGUUAUUUCAGACUGCAUAUCUAUGAUCUACGACAGGAGGAAAAUUGGAAAAUCACGUGUCACUUUCUUCUUGAUUCUUAACAUAUUAAACUAUAAAAAUACUACUACAGCAAAGAAGCAGUUUGCUUACAAAGACAACUGGAAGUGAAGAAGAAUAGAAAAAGAAGAAGAAAAAUGGAGGAAAGAGGAACAUGAACUUUUACUCCUGCAAGGGCCAUUCCAGUCAGAAAAGAGAUCAUCUACAAAACCCACUUCCUUCUUGACUUCCCUUACAAUUGAAGGUGUACCAUGCUUGGUGCUCUCCAAGGAAUGCCUUGGCAUGCUCUGGGGCAUCAUGUCCCUGCAAUGCACACCAAGUGUGCUUGCUCCGUGGCUCUGCUGGAGAAGAAAAUUCCAUUUGGUAAAUGCAGGCUGUGCAGAGCUGGUUGGCCUCGGAGCCGGGGAAAGGCUGCCUGCCCUGUCUUAGUGCAGCUGCAGAUGGUGCAAGCAGACAAGACGGCGAGCAGCAGAAGUGGAGGGGUGCAGUCCUCCUGCAGCCACAGCUGUGGGUGCUGACUGACCCCUCACAACCUCCUCUUUGAGACCCCCAGGAGGUCUGGGAGAGAUCUGAUGGAUCUUCCCAGAGUGGUUUCUGCAGCACACGGAAACACUUAAAAUUGUCCAUUUCACUAAGAAAUGUCUUGUUUUUUAUGUUGAUGUAUUUCAUACGAAUAAAAAAA
ensembl:lncRNA